rnacentral:tRNA from 1 species
CAUUAAGAAGCAAAAAAUGCAUUUAGUUUCGACCUAAAAAUUUAGUUUAUAUAACUCUAAUGU